rnacentral:rRNA from 1 species
GACGAACGCUGGCGGCGUGCUUAACACAUGCAAGUCGAACGCUGAAGCUUGGUGCUUGCACUGGGUGGAUGAGUGGCGAACGGGUGAGUAAUACGUGAGUAACCUGCCCUUGACUCUGGGAUAAGCCUGGGAAACUGGGUCUAAUACUGGAUACGACAUGUCACCGCAUGGUGGUGUGUGGAAAGGGUUUUACUGGUUUUGGAUGGGCUCACGGCCUAUCAGCUUGUUGGUGGGGUAAUGGCUCACCAAGGCGACGACGGGUAGCCGGCCUGAGAGGGUGACCGGCCACACUGGGACUGAGACACGGCCCAGACUCCUACGGGAGGCAGCAGUGGGGAAUAUUGCACAAUGGGCGGAAGCCUGAUGCAGCGACGCCGCGUGAGGGAUGACGGCCUUCGGGUUGUAAACCUCUUUCAGCACGGAAGAAGCGAAAGUGACGGUACGUGCAGAAGAAGCGCCGGCCAACUACGUG